GUGGGGAAUCUUGCGCAAUGGGCGAAAGCCUGACGCAGCCAUGCCGCGUGAAUGAUGAAGGUCUUAGGAUUGUAAAAUUCUUUCACCGGGGACGAUAAUGACGGUACCCGGAGAAGAAGCCCCGGCUAACUUCGUGCCAGCAGCCGCGGUAAUACGAAGGGGGCUAGCGUUGCUCGGAAUUACUGGGCGUAAAGGGCGCGUAGGCGGACAGUUUAGUCAGAGGUGAAAGCCCAGGGCUCAACCUUGGAAUUGCCUUUGAUACUGGCUGUCUUGAGUACGGGAGAGGUGAGUGGAACUCCGAGUGUAGAGGUGAAAUUCGUAGAUAUUCGGAAGAACACCAGUGGCGAAGGCGACUCACUGGCCCGUUACUGACGCUGAGGCGCGAAAGCGUGGGGUGCAAACAGGAUUAGAAACCCCAGUAGUCC
rnacentral:rRNA from 1 species